rnacentral:rRNA from 1 species
ACUCGAGUGGCGAACGGGUGAGUAACACGUGGGUGAUCUGCCCUGCACUUCGGGAUAAGCUUGGGAAACUGGGUCUAAUACCGGAUAGGAGCCAUCUUUAGUGUGUGGUUGGAAAGUUUUUCGGUGUAGGAUGAGCUCGCGGCCUAUCAGCUUGUUGGUGGGGUAAUGGCCUACCAAGGCGGCGACGGGUAGCCGGCCCGAGAGGGUGUACGGCCACAUUGGGACUGAGAUACGGCCCAG